rnacentral:rRNA from 1 species
AUUGAACGCUGGCGGCAGGCCUAACACAUGCAAGUCGAGCGGAUGAAGGGAGCUUGCUCCUGGAUUCAGCGGCGGACGGGUGAGUAAUGCCUAGGAAUCUGCCUGGUAGUGGGGGAUAACGUCCGGAAACGGGCGCUAAUACCGCAUACGUCCUGAGGGAGAAAGUGGGGGAUCUUCGGACCUCACGCUAUCAGAUGAGCCUAGGUCGGAUUAGCUAGUUGGUGGGGUAAAGGCCUACCAAGGCGACGAUCCGUAACUGGUCUGAGAGGAUGAUCAGUCAACCUGGAAAUGAGACACGGUCCAGACCCCUACGGGAGGACGCAGGGGGGAAUUUUGGAAAAGGGGGGAAAGCCUGAUCCAGCCAUGCCGGGUGUGUGAAGAAGGUCUUCGGAUUGUAAAACCCUUUAAGUUGGGGGAAAGGGCAGUAAGUUAAACCCUUGCUUUUUUGACGUUACCAACAAAAAAAGCACCGGCUAACUUCGU